rnacentral:rRNA from 1 species
AGGUGGGAAGAAAGGCACAUGGUUGAACAGGCUGUGUGUUUGACGGUACCACCAGAGGAAGCACCGGCUAACUCCGUGCCAGCAGCCGCGGUAAUACGGAGGGUGCGAGCGUUAUUCGGAAUUACUGGGGCGUAAAGCGCGUGUAGGCGGGGAGGUAAGUCUGAUGUGAAAGCCCUGGGCUCAACCUGGGAAGUGCAUUGGAAACUGCCUUUCUUGAGUACUGGAGAGGAAGGGGGAAUUCCCGGUGUAGAGGUGAAAUUCGUAGAGAUCGGGAGGAAUACCAGUGGCGAAGGCGCCCUUCUGGACGGUUACUGACGCUGAGACGCGAAAGCGUGGGGGAAGCAACCAGGGAUUUAGAAACCCUGGUAGUCCACGCUGUAAACGAUGAGCACUAGGUGUAGCGGGGUACUCAUUCCUGCUGUGCCGCAGCUAACGCGUUAAGUGCUCCGCCUGGGGACUACGGUCGCAAGACUAAAACUCAAAGGAAUUGACGGGGGCCCGCACAAGCGGUGGAGUAUGUGGUUUAAUUCGACGCAACGCGAAGAACCUUACCUGGGCUUGACAUCCCCGGACCGGCAUAGAAAUAUGUCUUUCCCUUUCGGGGGACCGGGAGACAGGUGCUGCAUGGCUGUCGUCAG